GACGAACGCUGGCGGCGUGCUUAACACAUGCAAGUCGAACGGAUUGCUUGGUGCUUGCACUGAGUGGUUAGUGGCGAACGGGUGAGUAACACGUGAGUAACCUGCCCCCUUCUUUGGGAUAAGCACCUGAAAGGGUGUCUAAUACUGAUUAUUCUGCUGGAAUCGCAUGGUUUUGGUUGGAAAGGUUUUUUCUGGUGGGGGAUGGGCUCGCGGCUUAUCAGCUUGUUGGUGGGGUAAUGGCUUACCAAGGCUUUGACGGGUAACCGGCCUGAGAGGGUGACCGGUCACAUUGGGACUGAGAUACGGCCCAGACUCCUACGGGAGGCAGCAGUGGGGAAUAUUGCACAAUGGACGAAAGUCUGAUGCAGCGACGCCGCGUGAGGGAUGAAGGCCUUCGGGUUGUAAACCUUUUUCGCUUUUGACCAAGGCAGCAUUUUGGUGUUGUUGAGGGUAUGAGGUAAAGAAGCUCCGGCUAACUACAUGCCAGCCGCCGCUGUAAUAC
rnacentral:rRNA from 1 species